UACGAAGGGGGCUAGCGUUGCUCGGAAUGACUGGGCGUAAAGGGCGCGUAGGCGGCUGUUACAGUCAGAUGUGAAAUUCCUGGGCUCAACCUGGGGGCUGCAUUUGAUACGUGAUGGCUGGAGUGGGGAAGAGGGUCGUGGAAUUCCCGGUGUAGUGGUGAAAUGCGUAGAGAUCGGGAGGAACACCAGUGGCGAAGGCGGCCCUCUGGGCCGGGCCUGACGCUGAGACGCGAGGGCGUGGGGAGCGAACGGG
rnacentral:rRNA from 1 species